GGACGGUUAGCUCAGCUGGUAUGAGCAUCUGCUUGACGUGCAGAGGGUCACAGGUUCGAGUCCUGUACCGUCCACCA
rnacentral:tRNA from 1 species